AUGCUCAUCUUCUUCCACCAAGCACGACAUUUGGGAAGAAGAUAUUUGAAGACUACAAAUCUGCUGAAUCAGCAAAGGGGGAUCACUGAGGUGACCCUCACUAAACCAGAUAACCCUGCCACUUCCCAUUUGUUACUUUGAUCUCUGUCACUGCCAUGAGACACUGAAGAGACUUAUAUCAUUUCCCUUGCAGCUGUCAUGGAUGGAAUUUUCAUCCUGGUUUUACCUGACUAAAAGAUUGGGAAAGAGCAGCGUUAUUACAUGUUCCAAGACCAGGGUUGUGGAUCCUAGGAGUGCCAAUAACAUAACUAAUGUUUGGAAGAUAAGAUGAAGGACAGGCUUUGCAUUUCAGUGAUUCAGCAACUCAACAAUGGCAUGAGGAGCCCAGGAACUUUCAGUCUCUGCUUAGUGAUUCCCCAUGGAGCGGUUUCUCCUGGCAGCUACAUGUUAAAGGCAGCAGAAAUGCCACUAGGGUACCCAGUCCAGUCAGGA